UACGGGGGGGGCAAGCGUUGUUCGGAAUUACUGGGCGUAAAGGGCUCGUAGGUGGCCAACUAAGUCAGACGUGAAAUCCCUCGGCUUAACCGGGGAACUGCGUCUGAUACUGGAUGGCUAGAGUUUGGGAGAGGGAUGCGGAAUUCCAGGUGUAGCGGUGAAAUGCGUAGAUAUGCGGAGGAACACCGAUGGCGAAGGCAAUCCCCUGGACCUGUACUGACGCUCAUGCACGAAAGCGUGGGGAGCAAACAAG
rnacentral:rRNA from 1 species